rnacentral:lncRNA from 1 species
CGCCUCUCUCCCUGCUUCCCUUCCCAUAAUUCCCAAUCGGCCUCUCUCCUCCACUUCACUAAUGACUGUCGGCGCAGGCCGGUCAGCAUCGGCGACAUCUCCUUUCUCUCCCUAGUGACCAUAAAUCUUCUUCUCCCUCAGUCAUCAAUAUCUCCUUCUCUCUCCAGUCGCUAACAUCUCUCACAGUCCCAUUUUCCAGUCAACGCCUCUCUCCCCCAUUUCACUCACGAGUGCCGGCAGCCCAAUCGACACUGGCGAUGUCUCCUUUCUCUCCCCAGUCGACGAUAAAUCUUCUCUCUCCCGAUAUCUCCUUCUCUCUCUC